CUAUCCGUACAGCCAAAGAGCCAUGGCCGAACCUGUGACUUUGUUUACUAUCACGUCUUUCUUUAGUGAUGCACCCUUGACGGUCAAAAAGGGUUUAAAUUCUUUUAAAUCCAACAGAGUAUUUGGUGUAGAUCAUCAUUCAGGUGGCAUAAUUAAGGGUAGAGUCCAGGCAUCCAUGAAAAAGAAGAUUUACGAAGUUGAGGUGGUUUCGCUGUAAAGAUACCUAAACCAGCAAUACUGCAGCCACCGACCUCUUCAAAUCCAGAAAAGUCAACGGAUGGUGAGCAGAAUUACUGUGCAAUGGAUGUAAGAGGGAACGCGGACCAGACUCGACACAGCCAACUCCAAAAACUCAUUCCUCAGAAGCUGAUGCAUCAUUCUGGUUGAAUCAAUGGGGCGGAAAAAUCCUUUUCAGUCAUGGCUCUUCAAGAUCCGGUGGAGUAGCAGUUUGCUUCAAUAACUUUCCUGGAGAAGUUAUCACACAUCGGACUGAUACAGAAGGACACUGGUUGACAGCUGAAGUGAAAAUGGAAGGUUCUUUCAUAAUAUUGUUUAACGUAUAUGGGUAUAAUAAUGAUAACCAAAAUAAGUCAAUGCUAGAUGAUAUAACAAAGGUGAUUUCUGAGCUUAAAGGUCGAUAUCCUAAAGAUUAUAUUUUAUGUGGAGGGGAUUGGAACAUGACUCCAAAUGAGUGGCUUGAUAGGUGGCCAGCUAGAGUUGGUAAACCUCAAUUUAAUAUUCUAAUUAAUAACUUUAUGGCUGAUAAUAAUUUUAACGACAUUUGGAGAAAAAUAUACCCAGGAAUAACAGGUUUUUCAUGGUUUAGACCAAAUGGAUCCUGUAAGUCUAGGAUUGAUUAUUGGUUGGGUACUGACAAUAUAGUGAGUCAUGUUAAAAAGACAACUAUGUCAAAUGCACCUUUAUCAGAUCACUGUUAUAUAGAACUAGUCUUAGAACCUACAGAUAAAUCAACAUAUAGGAAAGGCUUUUGGAAAUUUAAUGGUAAAUUAUUACAAAAUGAAGAAUAUUGCAGUAAAAUCUGAGGAAUAAUUACUGAAAUCCAAAAUGAUAACGCAAUUAUUAGUUAUAGUAACAAAUGGGAAUUCAUCAAAUUCAUAAUCCGAGAAAUCAGUAUUCAGUUUAGUAAAGUACUAGCCAAAAAAAAAAAAGUUAGAAAGCAAAUUAUUAAAAGAAAUACAUAUAUUCUGUAGCAACACCUCUGAAGAAAAAGCAGACUAGUUGAAUUACAGAACAAGUUAUCUUGACAAAGCACAGGGAGCUUUUGUGAGAUCGUGAGCGAGAUGGAUUGAAUCAGGUGAAAAGAAUUCCUCUUAUUUUUUUCAAUCUAUAAAAAAGCCGACAACAAAAAAACUGCAUCUCUACUCUUUUAGUAAAUGAUGAGGUACGGAAAGACUCAAAAAUCAUAGAAAAUGAAGUCUACAUGUUUUAUUCUAAAUUAUAUUCUUCUCAGUUCUCGAAAGUAGACUUUAAUAACCUCUUUCAAAAUCUUUCUCCAUUAAUUCCCCAGAUUGAUUUAUCUUUUAAAAAUAUUUGUGAUUUGGAACUUAGAAUAGAGGAACUGGAUGCAGUUCUUAAGAAAAUGGCUUCAAAUAAAUCCCCAGGAUCAGAUGGUCUCACAGUUAAUCUUAUAAUUAUUUUUGGAAAGAUUUGAGAAUCAUAUUAUUUGAAGCGCUAAAAGAAUGUAUAGUUAGGAAAGAAUUGAUGACUAGUAUGAAACAGGGCGUAAUUACUCUGAUCCCAAAGCCGGGGAAAGACAAGCGGCAACUAGACAAUUUAAGACCGAUUACUCUACUAAACACAGAUUAUAAAAUAUUUUCAGGAUCCAUUGCCUCUAGACUUAAAAAAGGGAUAGCAGACAUAAUAAGUGAGACCCAGUCGGGCUUUAUAAAAGGAAGAGUCAUUCAUAAUAACAGACUUGUUAUGGAUUUUUUAGACUAUAGUGAUUUAAUUGAUGAUGAUGGUUUUAGACUCUUCCUUGAUUUUUAUAAGGCCUUUGAUUAUACAUAUGCUGUAUUUUGAUGUAAAUAGUUGUGUGUCUCUGGGACAUGGAACUGUAAAAGAUUUAAUAUUGAAAGAGGAAUAAGGCAAGGAUGUGGAAGCUCUCCCUUGUUGUUUAUAAUGGUUGCAGAAAUCUUAAUUAAAAACCGCGUGUUAGAAGGUAUGAAUUUAAUGGGCAAACAAAUAAUUAUAAGUCAGUUGGCUGACGAUACAACAUUGUAUCUUAAAAACAUAUUCCAAAUUCCCAUAGCAUUACAAGCUAUCAAUAUUUUCUCAAAGGCCUCUGGACUUCAGUUAAACUUAAAUAAAUGUGAAUUAUUGCCAUUAAAUGAUCAAUCCAUACAAUCAUUGUAUAACAUAAAGGUAAAAAAAGAAGUCAAAUACUUGGGUAUUAUAGUGACUAAAGACAAAACGAUCUCUGAAAAACGAAACAUAGAAGACAAUGUGGACAACUGCAAAUAAUUUUUAAGUAGAUGGUUACGAAGAGAUCUUUCCAUUUUUGGCAGAAUAUUGUUAACUAAAAUGGACCGUUUACCUGAUUAAUAUACCCAGCUUACUCUCUUCCAAUAGCACCCCAUAAAGGUAAAACUAUCAACAAACUAAAUUUUGAUUUUAUAUGGCGGAAUAAAUGUCAUUAUAUAGCCAAGCAGGAUUUAAUUCGAUCUUAUGAGGAUGGUGGUGGUAAAGCAAUGGAUUUUGAUUGUAUGAAUGGCAUGUUAAAAAUUAGAUGGUUAAAAAACUAUUCAAAAUAAAAAUUUAUUGUGGUAUUAUAUUCGCAAUCAGAUUUUUGAAAAGGUAGGCAGCAUUAGUUUUCUUCUCCAAUGUGAUUUUGAUUUUAAGGAACUUCCUAUGAAUCUUUCAGAUUUUCAUCAACAGGUCCUUCUGUAUUGGAAACUAAUAUUCAAGCAUAAUUUCACAACACACAGUACACCAAUUUGGAAUAAUAGGUAUAUUUUGGUAAAAAGAAAAUCUCUUUUUAUUUCUGAAUGGUUCUCUAAAGGUGUCUGGGCUAUUGCCCACUUCAUGGAUAUGGAAGGAAAUGUUUUACAACAUGUUGAAUUCUGUAACAAAUUUCAAAUAGUUGUACCCAAAAGAAGUUUAAACAGAUUGUGAAAGCUCUCCCAAUAUCACUUGUAGCUAUAAUUAAGCAGGAUAUAAUAUAUUCCAAAAUCACUUCUUCCUUAAGACAACUUUGCAUUAAUGGUAUUGAUCUGCAAAAUUACAAAUGUAACAAGUUUAUAAGGAACUGUUUACUUAACUGCCAAACAAGCUCUCUCAAAAGAGACUAUAUUCUCAAAGACUUUAGUAAGGAGAUAAUAAAAAAGAUUAGAGGUGAUUACUUAAAAUACCCAGUCCCGCCAAAAACAAAAGAAAUGCAGUUUAAAAUUAUAAAUAGGAUUUAUCCAACUAAUAAUUUCUUAGAAAAAGAUUUUAAAUAGAUGUAAGAAACUGUAACUUCUGUGAAAAUGAACCAGAAGAUUUGAAUCAUCUUUUCUGGUUGUGUGAAGUUGUACACACAACAAGUGCACAAACAACAUCGCUCAGCAACAUUGCUCAAAAGGUUGCCCAGUGUAUCAUCACCUUAAGCUAGGAUAAAUUAGAUAGUUGACAUUAUAAAUCUGACCCUGGACCACAAAACCAGGCUAAGUAGCACAGGUAUAUUUGUAGCAAUAGCCCAAAAAACAUUGGGUCUCAUUCAUGAAACAUUCGUAAA